AAUAGAUACCCGGGUAGUCCACGCCGUAAACGAUGAGUGCUAAGUGUUAGAGGGUUUCCGCCCUUUAGUGCUGCAGCAAACGCAUUAAGCACUCCGCCUGGGGAGUACGGUCGCAAGACUGAAACUCAAAGGAAUUGACGGGGGCCCGCACAAGCGGUGGAGCAUGUGGUUUAAUUCGAAGCAACGCGAAGAACCUUACCAGGUCUUGACAUCCCGUGACAACUCUAGAGAUAGGGUUUUCCCCUUCGGGGGACACGGUGACAGGUGGUGCAUGGUUGUCGUCAGCUCGUGUCGUGAGAUGUUGGGUUAAGUCCCGCAACGAGCGCAACCCUUGAUCUUAGUUGCCAGCAUUCAGUUGGGCACUCUAAGGUGACUGCCGGUGACAAACCGGAGGAAGGUGGGGAUGACGUCAAAUCAUCAUGCCCCUUAUGACCUGGGCUACACACGUGCUACAAUGGAUGGUACAAAGGGCAGCGAAACCGCGAGGUUAAGCCAAUCCCAUAAAACCAUUCUCAGUUCGGAUUGCAGG
rnacentral:rRNA from 1 species